CCGAAAUAACCGAACACUAAAAAUUUACAUGAAACCUAAACAUAAAAUUAAGCCUAAAAUAAUCAAAUAAUAUGAAGUAACAUAUAUCGAUAUUUCGGCACCAUAAAAAGCAUCGCUUGAUUUCUGACUGACUUACACUUCCAGUUAGUGAGAGAGCUUUACAGAGAUCGAUAAGAUUCGUUAAGUUAGUGCAUGACAGAGCAGGACAAAGCAUGGAUUCAAUUACACAUUGUGCUGACUUCGCUUCCAGACAGUGAGAGAGUUUCUCAAUGAGCGAACGUCUUCGUCGACUUGUCGAGUGGCCAUAUAGCUAAUGCGACAGAGCAGGACAAAAUAUUGGUGCUGCUGUUUGCAAACUCUUAUAUUUGAACACUUAAAAGCAAAUCGAAGAAUCUAUCUUUUGUAAACACGUGCACCAGAUCAAACUCAGCUGCAAUCGUAUAGAUUAAAAACAACAGAUACAAAAUCCAUGA